rnacentral:rRNA from 1 species
GACGAACGCUGGCGGCGUGCCUAAUACAUGCAAGUCGAGCGGACUGAAUGGGAGCUUGCUCUUGUUCGGUCAGCGGCGGACGGGUGAGUAACACGUGGGCAACCUGCCCGCAAGACCGGGAUAACUCCGGGAAACCGGAGCUAAUACCGGAUAACACCGAAGACCGCGUGGUCUUUGGUUGAAAGGCGGCGCAAGCUGCCACUUGCGGAUGUGCCCGCGGCGCAUUGGCUAGAUGGUGAGGUAACGGCUCACCAAGGCGACGAUGCGUAGCCGGCCUGAGGGGGUGACCGGCCACACUGGGACUGAGACACGGCCCAGAGUCCUACGGGAGGCAGCAGUAGGGAAUCUUCCGCAAUGGGCGAAAGCCUGACGGAGCGACGCCGCGUGAGCGAAGAAGGCCUUCGGGUCGGAAAGCUCUGUUGUGGGGGACGAAGGAGCGCCGUUUGAAGAAGGCGGGGCGGUGACGGUACCUCACGAGGAAGCCCCGGCUAACUACGUG